CGGACGGGUGAGUAACGCGUGAGAAUCUGCCUAAAGGACUGGGACAACAGCUGGAAACGGCUGCUAAUACCAGAUAUGCCAGAAAGUGAAAAGGGGUAACCCGCCUUUUGAUGAGCUCGCGUCUGAUUAGCUAGUUGGUAGGGUAAAGGCCUACCAAGGCUCCGAUCAGUAACUGGUCUGAGAGGAUGACCAGUCACACUGGGACUGAGACACGGCCCAGACUCCUACGGGAGGCAGCAGUGGGGAAUUUUCCGCAAUGGGCGCAAGCCUGACGGAGCAAUACCGCGUGGGGGAGGAAGGCUCUUGGGUCGUAAACCUCUUUUCUCAGGGAAGAACACAAUGACGGUACCUGAGGAAUCAGCAUCGGCUAACUCCGUGCCAGCAGCCGCGGUAAUACGGAGGAUGCAAGCGUUAUCCGGAAUGAUUGGGCGUAAAGCGUCCGCAGGUGGCCGUGUAAGUCUGCUGUCAAAGGUCAGGGCUCAACCCUGAACAGGCAGUGGAAACUACACAGCUAGAGUGCGGUGGGGGCAGAGGGAAUUCCCAGUGUAGCGGUGAAAUGCGUAGAGAUUGGGAAGAACACCGGUGGCGAAAGCGCUCUGCUAGGCCGCAACUGACACUCAUGGACGAAAGCUAGGGGAGCGAAUGGGAUUAGAUACCCCAGUAGUC
rnacentral:rRNA from 1 species